GACGAACGCUGGCGGCGUGCUUAACACAUGGAAGUCGAACGGAAAGGCCCUGCUUUUGUGGGGUGCUCGAGUGGCGAACGGGUGAGUAACACGUGAGUAACCUGCCCUUGACUUUGGGAUAACUUCAGGAAACUGGGGCUAAUACCGGAUAGGAGCUCCUGCUGCAUGGUGGGGGUUGGAAAGUUUCGGCGGUUGGGGAUGGACUCGCGGCUUAUCAGCUUGUUGGUGGGGUAGUGGCUUACCAAGGCUUUGACGGGUAGCCGGCCUGAGAGGGUGACCGGCCACAUUGGGACUGAGAUACGGCCCAGACUCCUACGGGAGGCAGCAGUGGGGAAUAUUGCACAAUGGGCGGAAGCCUGAUGCAGCAACGCCGCGUGCGGGAUGACGGCCUUCGGGUUGUAAACCGCUUUCGCCUGUGACGAAGCGUGAGUGACGGUAAUGGGUAAAGAAGCACCGGCUAACUACGUG
rnacentral:rRNA from 1 species